rnacentral:rRNA from 1 species
GACGUAGGGCGCGAGCGUUGUCCGGAUUUAUUGGGCGUAAAGAGCUCGUAGGCGGCUUUCUAAGUCGGAGGUGAAAUCCUGGAGCUCAACUCCAGAACUGCCUUCGAUACUGGAGAGCUUGAGUCCGGGAGAGGUGAGUGGAACUGCGAGUGUAGAGGUGAAAUUCGUAGAUAUUCGCAAGAACACCAGUGGCGAAGGCGGCUCACUGGCCCGGUACUGACGCUGAGGUGCGAAAGCGUGGGGAGCAACAGG